rnacentral:rRNA from 1 species
AUUGACCGCUGGCGGCAGGCCUAACACAUGCAAGUCGAACGAGUGGCGGACGGGUGAGUAAUGUCUGGGAAACUGCCUGAUGGAGGGGGCUAACUACUGGAACCGGUAGCUAAUACCGCAUACCAUCGGAUGUGCCCAGAGGGGAUUAGCUAGUAGGUGGUGUAAAGGCUCACCUAGGCGACGAUCCCUAGCUGGUCUGAGAGGAUUACCAGCAACACUGGAACUGAUACACGGUCCAGACUCCUACGGGAGGCAGCAGUGGGGAAUAUUGCAUAAUGGGCGCAAGCCUGAUGCAGCCAUGCCGCGUGGAUGAAGAAGGCCUUCGGGUUGUAAAGUACUUUCAGCGGGGAGGCGUUACCCGCAGAAGAAGCACCGGCUAACUCCGUGCCAGCAGCCGCGGUAAUUC